UACGUAGGGGGCAAGCGUUAUCCGGAUUUACUGGGUGUAAAGGGAGCGUAGACGGCAGUGCAAGUCUGGAGUGAAAGGCGGGGGCUCAACCCCCGGACUGCUCUGGAAACUGUACGGCUGGAGUGCAGGAGAGGUAAGUGGAAUUCCUAGUGUAACGGUGAAAUGCGUAGAUAUUAGGAGGAACACCAGUGGCGAAGGCGGCUUACUGGACUGUAACUGACGUUGAGGCUCGAAAGCGUGGGGAGCAAACAGG
rnacentral:rRNA from 1 species